GUCCUUUUCUAAUCUGCUGCAAACGGUUUUCGGCUGGUGGGCUCGACGUCGUGUUCGUCCCUGAGCAGAUGGGCGGCGUGACGUUCGGCGGCUGCCUAGGUCUCGAGCGGCGCCGUGGUUGGUGAUGGUUCCAUGACGGUGCAGGCUUAACGGCGUGAGCUCUCCGGGUUCUUGGAUACCGGGAAACGCAGCGGGGAUGCAACGACUACGAACUCUUCCUGCCCCGGCGACGGCGGUGCUGCUCCAUCUCGCCGGGUACGUCGAUGUCACGGUUGAUAUUCUAAAGAUGCUUGUAAGGUGCCUUAUCUAUAUUAUUUUACUGAUGCUGACUAAUCAAAGACUGCCUACACAACUUCUCUUGUAUAAAUAAAAGAAAAAGUUGGCUUACUGACGCAUCAACUUCCUGAUGCAUAUACAGUGCAGGAGGAUACAGAUAUGGGCACAACAAUGGAGCUAAUACUUCUACGAACAUGGUCAAUCCCUAAGAACAUUUUUGUUACAAAAGCUGGAUUUCGCUAAGACUGGAGGUGUCAACCUAAAUGCACAUAUAUCACACGGAAUGACAGCAGUCGAAAACCAUUUUAUCUGCAUUGUAUAAUUUUCCACACAGAUUAAUUACAAUAUUUAUUCUAUGUGCAUGAGU